AGUUUGAUCAUGGCUCAGAAUGAACGCUGGCGGCAUGCCUAACACAUGCAAGUCGAACGAAGCCUUCGGGUUUAGUGGCGCACGGGUGCGUAACGCGUGGGAAUCUGCCCCUUGGUUCGGAAUAACAGUUGGAAACGACUGCUAAUACCGGAUGAUGACGUAAGUCCAAAGAUUUAUCGCCGAGGGAUGAGCCCGCGUAGGAUUAGGUAGUUGGUGUGGUAAAGGCGCACCAAGCCGACGAUCCUUAGCUGGUCUGAGAGGAUGAUCAGCCACACUGGGACUGAGACACGGCCCAGACUCCUACGGGAGGCAGCAGUGGGGAAUAUUGGACAAUGGGCGAAAGCCUGAUCCAGCAAUGCCGCGUGAGUGAUGAAGGCCUUAGGGUUGUAAAGCUCUUUUACCCGGGAUGAU
rnacentral:rRNA from 1 species